CAGAGAGAGGAGAGAUCUAGGGUCCUUCCCAGCUCUGGAGUCAAGUGGGACCUAAAUCAGGAGGAGACAGAAGAAUGGCAAGAGGCCAGAUGGUUCAUGCUGGAAUGAAGACUCUUUUCUUGCUCCUCCUCCUGGACCUGACUAACUUCUCCCAGGCUUUCCACUUCUGGAAUUACCACGUGGACUAUCCCAAGACCCAGGUCUCAGGAACACCAGAUCAAUAUUGUAAUGUGAUAAUGCAACGGAGGGGGAUGAUUACACGGAAUCACUGCUUUCAAAUUAAUGCGUUCAUCCACGAGACAAACAGCACUCUCCAAAAUAUCUGUAAAACUAGCCCAAAGACUUGUGGAGGUCCCAGUUGGUUACUAUGUCAUGAAAGUUCCAAACCAUUGAAGUUGACAUAUUGCUCUACACAGUCUUAUGCCCGGCCCCCUAACUGUGGGUAUAAGGCACAGGCCUUUUCUGAAAAGAUCUUGGUAGUUUGUGUACGUGGAUCCCCUAUCUACUUGUUCCAAACCUAAACCUUCCAUGUGGUGAUCCCACUUAUCCAUGACAAUUUUUCCUCUAGUCUUACUCUGUGCUCCCCCCCCCCCCGCCCCACUCAUCUGGAAGCCUCCACUUCAUUCAAAUUUCAACUACUUGCCUGAAUUUCUCACCUUUCCUUUAUUCUGAUAAAAUAGAAUCUUCUUAAAGGCAGAGAUCCCUCCAUUUUUGUUUUUGUAUCUCCUUCGCUUGGUACAUAAUGAAUACUUGAUAAAUAUUUGAUGUUUGAUUGAUUCUUCAUCCAGCUGAUUUUUAUGUGGGCCUUGAUUAUAGAAUGGGGUACUAGAAUUAAAGAUUUCAAAACAGCCUCAAUUCUAUCAAUUUCUAUAUUUUUUGAGGGGGUCUUUCUUUUUAUCUGAAUUCUGUCAGCAGGGGACCAAUAUUUUUUUUAAGUAUUCCUACUUUUUAUUUUUAAAAUUUUUUUAUUUUCAGUUCCAAAUGCCCUCCCUUCUUCCACUUCCUCCCUUACCCAUUUAGAAGGCAAGAAAUAUGUAACUCAUACAUACGAAGUCACAUAAAACAAACUUCCAUGUUAGCCAGAGCCAGUCUUUUGUAAGAACUCUUGGCAUUGCACUUUUUCCCUUAUUUUCUCUUCUUGUAUCCUCAGUAAUGAAUGGAGCUGUGAAGUAAGGGUGAAAAAGAUGUUGGUAGAGGUGACUGGUAUGAUUUUUAAUCUACAGACAUUUUAUGUACCUCAAAUGUGUUGGAUAGAGUUUUUUUCUCCAGCAUUUCACUUUCAAUAAAUUUAAUUGUACUGAUUUAGUGUCUAUGAAU
rnacentral:lncRNA from 1 species